rnacentral:rRNA from 1 species
ACUCCUACGGGAGGCAGCAGUGGGGAAUCUUGCGCAAUGGGCGGAAGCCUGACGCAGCAACGCCGCGUGGGGAUGGACGGCCUCGGGUUGGUAAAACCUCUUUCGCGAUCGACGAAGCUCGUACUUCUGGUACGGGUGACGGUAGGUCGAGAAGAAGCACCGGCCAACUACGUGCCAGCAGCCGCGGUAAUACGUAGGGUGCGAGCGUUGUCCGGAAUUAUUGGGCGUAAAGAGCUCGUAGGCGGUGUGUCGCGUCGGCCGUGAAAACCUGGGGCUUAACUCUGGGCGUGCGGUCGAUACGGGCAUCACUGGAGUUCGGCAGGGAGACUGGAAUUCCUGGUGUAGCGGUGAAAUGCGCAGAUAUCAGGAGGAACACCGGUGGCGAAGGCGGGUCUCUGGGCCGAUACUGACGCUGAGGAGCGAAAGCAUGGGUAGCGAACAGGAUUAGAUACCCUGGUAGCGAGUAG